ACCUACAUGAAAAUACGAGCACUUGAUCUCAUCGCUACUGUUCCGAUAAUUUCUAGUAGUCCAAUUCACUGUAUUUUAAUCUCCUUCUUUAUGCAUGAAUUGACAUUUACGUUAUGUGUUCUUGUCUUUGCAUAAAAAGAAAGCAAAGGAGGAAAUCACACACAACUACACCAGCCAAUCCCUUUUGUAAUCACACGAACUAAACUAAACUAAACAAACUGCAAAAAGAAUUCAAAGCCAAUCGGCCAAAGUGAGGGAAAAAAGAAGUAGAAGAAGAAGGAAAUCCUUACAGUGACCAAUUCUUUAAUCAACAAAGGAGCCAAUUUAACACCAUCAACCAGCUCCUCCUUCAAACUCUUUCCUGUAAGAUUAAACAAACCAGCCCACUUCAACAUCUCCUCAACACUCUCAAACACAGGCCUUGUUUCCACUCCUUCAUAAUACUUCAAAAACUUAUUCACUGUCUCGUCCACAAAGCCUUUCAUUUUUACAAGUGAAAAUCCAUAUCUCAUAAACAGAGAAACCCCAUUAAAAAAAGACACAAUCUUGUUCACAAUUCCCCACUUUGACUUCAGAUUUAGGGUUUUAACAACAAACCCAUUCCCAUCCCAAAUCCCCAAUGAAAAGGAACCCUCUGAACUGGAUGGUCUCUUCCUCGUCAAGUUUAGGAAAUUAGUAUAGUUCGAGGCGUGGUAGUUUUUGGGGUGGAGAAUUGAAGCUCCGGCCUCGAAGGCGUCGCCGCCGAUUGUCACGGAGGCUAUCCGACCGCCGACGAUGGCGUGUCUUUCGAAGAUUAGGAUUUUUGGAUGGUGGUUGGUGGAGUGCCGGCGGAGGAAGUGGGCGACUGAAGCGCCGCCAAUUCCGCUGCCGAUGAUGCAUACGGAAGCGCCGUCGCCUCCGGCUGCGGUGGAGGAGGAGGUGUGUGGGAAAGUAAAGGAGAAGAGCGCGAGUAAAGAGAAGAUUUUCAGUGGAAAAAGAAACAUGUUUACUUGUUGGCUUGUCACCACCAGCUUUGAUCAAGACACUAUCAACAAGGGAUGUUACUGCUUGAUGUUGACUUGAUUGAUUGUACCUUCUUCUAAUGGUAAUAAACAUAGAACCAAUGCCCACGUCCUUCCACUGGUUUGGUUUGGCAGCUUCUUCCAGUGUGCCGUGGGUUUUUGAUCGAGGGCGUGUCUGGAAAUGCGGAGUGCGGCAAUGGGUUUGUUGAAUCCAUUACCCACUGGUUGAACCCGUGGGUAAUGGAUUCAACAAAACUAUGUGCUAUAAAAGAUACCAUGUGUAUUGCUGGUGUUUUUGUGUAGCCGUAAAAACAAUUUGAAAAUAUUAAAAAAAAUUAAUU